rnacentral:rRNA from 1 species
CCUACGGGUGGCAGCAGUAGGGAAUCUUCCACAAUGGGCGAAAGCCUGAUGGAGCAACGCCGCGUGGGUGAAGAAGGUCUUCUGAUCGUAAAACCCUGUUUUUAGAGAAGAAAGUGCGUGAGAGUAACUGUUCACGUUUCGACGGUAUCUAACCAGAAAGCCACGGCUAACUACGUGCCAGCAGCCGCGGUAAUACGUAGGUGGCAAGCGUUAUCCGGAUUUAUUGGGCGUAAAGGGAACGCAGGCGGUCUUUUAAGUCUGAUGUGAAAGCCUUCGGCUUAACCCGCGUAUUGCAUUUGAAACUGGGGGACUUGAGAGCAGAAGAGGAGAGUGGAACUCAAGGUGUAGCGGUGAAAUGCGUAGAGAUCUGGAAGAACACCAGUGGCGAAAGCGGCUCUCUAGUCUGUAACUGACGCUGAGGUUCGAAAGCGUGGGUAGCAAACAGGAUUAGAUACCCCAGUAGUC